CCCUGGUUAGCUCAGUUGGUAGAGCGCUCCACCUGUAAUAGAGAGGUUCCGGGGUUCGAUACCCGGAUUAGGCG
rnacentral:tRNA from 1 species